UACGUAGGGGGCUAGCGUUGUCCGGAUUUAUUGGGCGUAAAGAGCGUGUAGGCGGCCAGGUAGGUCUGCUGUGAAAACUCGAGGCUCAACCUCGAGCUGUCGGCGGAAACCAUCUGGCUAGAGUCCGGAAGAGGAGAGUGGAAUUCCUGGUGUAGCGGUGAAAUGCGUAGAUAUCAUUUGGAACGCCAAUGGUGAAAACAGGUAGCUGGGGCUGUACUGACACUGAGACACGAAAGCCAGGGGAGCAAACGGG
rnacentral:rRNA from 1 species